ACACAUGCAAGUCGAGGGGCAGCAUGGUCUUAGCUUGCUAAGGCCGAUGGCGACCGGCGCACGGGUGAGUAACACGUAUCCAACCUGCCGUCUACUCUUGGACAGCCUUCUGAAAGGAAGAUUAAUACAAGAUGGCAUCAUGAGUCCGCAUGUUCACAUGAUUAAAGGUAUUCCGGUAGACGAUGGGGAUGCGUUCCAUUAGAUAGUAGGCGGGGUAACGGCCCACCUAGUCUUCGAUGGAUAGGGGUUCUGAGAGGAAGGUCCCCCACAUUGGAACUGAGACACGGUCCAAACUCCUACGGGAGGCAGCAGUGAGGAAUAUUGGUCAAUGGGCGCAGGCCUGAACCAGCCAAGUAGCGUGAAGGAUGACUGCCCUAUGGGUUGUAAACUUCUUUUAUAAAGGAAUAAAGUCGGGUAUGUAUACCCGUUUGCAUGUACUUUAUGAAUAAGGAUCGGCUAACUCCGUGCCAGCAGCCGCGGUAAUACGGAGGAUCCGAGCGUUAUCCGGAUUUAUUGGGUUUAAAGGGAGCGUAGAUGGAUGUUUAAGUCAGUUGUGAAAGUUUGCGGCUCAACCGUAAAAUUGCAGUUGAUACUGGAUAUCUUGAGUGCAGUUGAGGCAGGCGGAAUUCGUGGUGUAGCGGUGAAAUGCUUAGAUAUCACGAAGAACUCCGAUUGCGAAGGCAGCCUGCUAAGCUGCAACUGACAUUGAGGCUCGAAAGUGUGGGUAUCAAACAGGAUUAGAUACCCUGGUAGUCCACACGGUAAACGAUGAAUACUCGCUGUUCGCGAUAUACGGCAAGCGGCCAAGCGAAAGCGUUAAGUAUUCCACCUGGGGAGUACGCCGGCAACGGUGAAACUCAAAGGAAUUGACGGGGGCCCGCACAAGCGGAGGAACAUGUGGUUUAAUUCGAUGAUACGCGAGGAACCUUACCCGGG
rnacentral:rRNA from 1 species